rnacentral:rRNA from 1 species
AUACGUAGGGAGCGAGCGUUGUCCGGAAUUACUGGGUGUAAAGGGAGCGUAGGCGGGAGUGCAAGUCAGAUGUGAAAUACAUGGGCUCAACCCAUGGGCUGCAUUUGAAACUGCAUUUCUUGAGUGAAGUAGAGGUAAGCGGAAUUCCUGGUGUGGCGGUGAAAUGCGUAGAUAUCAGGAGGAACAACGGUGGCGAAGGCGGCUUACUGGGCUUUUACUGACGCUGAGGCUCGAAAGCGUGGGGAGCAAACAGGAUUAGAUACCCUGGUAGUCCACGCUGUAAACGAUGAUUACUAGGUGUGGGGGGACUGACCCCUUCCGUGCCGCAGUUAACACAAUAAGUAAUCCACCUGGGGAGUACGGCCGCAAGGUUGAAACUCAAAUGAAUUGACGGGG